rnacentral:rRNA from 1 species
UACGGGGGGGGCAAGCGUUGUUCGGAAUUACUGGGCGUAAAGGGCUCGUAGGCGGCCAACUAAGUCAGACGUGAAAUCCCUCAGCUUAACUGGGGAACUGCGUCUGAUACUGGAUGGCUUGAGUUUGGGAGAGGGAUGCGGAAUUCCAGGUGUAGCGGUGAAAUGCGUAGAUAUCAGGAGGAACACCGGUGGUGUAGACGGCUAUCUGGACCGUAACUGACGCUGAGACACGAAAGCGUGGGUAGCAAACAGG